rnacentral:rRNA from 1 species
AUUGAACGCUGGCGGCAGGCCUAACACAUGCAAGUCGAACGAGUGGCGGACGGGUGAGUAAUGUCUGGGAAACUGCCCGAUGGAGGGGGAUAACUACUGGAAACGGUAGCUAAUACCGCAUACCAUCGGAUGUGCCCAGAUGGGUUUAGCUAGUAGGUGGGGUAACGGCUCACCUAGGCGACGAUCCCUAGCUGGUCUGAGAGGAUGACCGCCCAAACGGGAACGGAGAAAGGGUCCAGCCCCCUACGGGGGGCGGAAGUGGGAAAUAUUGGACAAGGGGCGCAAGCCGAAUGCAGCCAGGCCGCGUGGAUGAAGAAGGCCUUCGGGUUGUAAAGUACUUUCAGCGAGGAGGCGUUACUCGCAGAGGAAGCACCGGCUAACUCCGUGCCAGCCGCCGCGGUAAUAC